GCCUGGGUAGCUCAGCAGUUGGGCGCCUGUCUUCAGCUCAGGUCAUGAUCCUGGGAUCUGGGAUCGAGUCCCACAUCGGGCU
rnacentral:tRNA from 1 species